UACAGAGGGUGCGAGCGUUAAUCGGAAUUACUGGGCGUAAAGCGCACGUAGGUGGCGACGUAAGUCGGGUGUGAAAUCCCCGGGCUCAACCUGGGAACUGCAUUUGUGACUGUAGAGCUGGAGUACGGCAGAGGGGGAUGGAAUUCCGCGUGUGGCAGUGAAAUGCGUAGAUAUGCGGAGGAACACCGAUGGCGAAGGCAAUCCCCUGGGCCUGUACUGACGCUCAUGCACGAAAGCGUGGGGAGCAAACAGG
rnacentral:rRNA from 1 species